rnacentral:rRNA from 1 species
CUACGGUGAAUACGUUCCCGGACCUUGUACACACCGCCCGUCAAGCCAUGGAAGCCGGGUGUACCUAAAGUCGAUAACCGUAAGGAGUCGCCUAGGGUAAAACUAGUAACUGGGGCU